AAAUGGUCAUAAAAGGACCAUGACAGGUUUUAAAGAUGCUUUUGGAUGACGGUUUUGAGGUUAACCCAUAAUUCGGCCUUUGCACUCAUCAAGGUCUUGUAGUUGUCUUCCUUCUCUUGGAAAUCGGCCUGUUACCGCAUAAAUUUUUCUAGUUCAACCUGAUGUGGCCGAGAGUCUUGGACCGCAUUGUCAACUUAGCAAGGAUGGUUGAUUUUCU
rnacentral:lncRNA from 1 species